UCCGGUGAGUACAGUGGCGUACGGGUGAGUAACACGUGGGUAAUCUACCUCUUAGAGUGGAAUAACCCUGGGAAACCGGGGCUAAUACCGCAUAAGCCUGAGAAGGGAAAGUCGCAAGACGCUGAGAGAGGAGCCCGCGGCCGAUUAGCUAGUUGGGAGGGUAAAAGCCUACCAAGGCAAAGAUCGGUAGCCGGCCUGAGAGGGCACACGGCCACACUGGCACUGAAACAUGGGCCAGACUCCUACGGGAGGCAGCAGUGGGGAAUCUUGCACAAUGGGGGAAACCCUGAUGCAGCGACGCCGCGUGAGCGAUGAAGCCCUUCGGGGUGUAAAGCUCUUUCGUCAGGGAAGAUAAUGACGGUACCUGGAGAAGCAGCUGCGGCUAACUACGUGCCAGCAGCCGCGGUAAUACGUAGGCAGCGAGCGUUGUUCGGAGUUACUGGGCGUAAAGGGUGUGUAGGCGGUUGUUUAAGUUUGGUGUGAAAUCUCCCGGCUCAACUGGGAGGGUGCGCCGAAUACUGAAUGACUAGAGUGCGGGAGAGGAGAGUGGAAUUCCUGGUGUA
rnacentral:rRNA from 1 species